UAACGUAGACGAAAGUUACGCUAAUACCGCAUAUUCUGUGAGCAGGAAAGCAGGGGAUCGCAAGACCUUGCGCUGAUUGAGCGGCCGAUAUCAGAUUAGCUAGUUGGUGAGGUAAAGGCUCACCAAGGCGACGAUCUGUAGCGGGUCUGAGAGGAUGAUCCGCCACACUGGAACUGAGACACGGUCCAGACUCCUACGGGAGGCAGCAGUGGGGAAUUUUGGACAAUGGGCGCAAGCCUGAUCCAGCCAUGCCGCGUGAGUGAAGAAGGCCUUCGGGUUGUAAAGCUCUUUCAGCCGGGAAGAAAACGCAUGGGUUAAUACCCUGUGCGGAUGACGGUACCGGAAUAAGAAGCACCGGCUAACUACGUG
rnacentral:rRNA from 1 species